rnacentral:lncRNA from 1 species
UUUUAGCUUACCUCUCACGCCGUGCAUUCCCAGGAAGGGAAUCAAGGCAAAACAUCUCCAGCUUACAAGCGAAGAAUUUAAGAUGACAGGGAGGACGACGCGCAUCUUUCUCACCCCAGUCCUGAAGGCUCCAUCAGAUUUAUUUUUUCUAAGAAAAUGCUGCCGUGGUGGAGUGGUCUUCCCCGGCUCUGGAGUGGUGUCACAAUGUCACCUUCUGCGUCUCCUCCAGCAGGCUGUGCCAGCUGAUGGUGAGUCUACACUUUACAGGUGUGCCCUUGUAUAAAAUGCAGUUUUCCAUUUCCUUGCU